AGUGAACGCUGGCGGUAGGCCUAACACAUGCAAGUCGAACGGCAGCACAGUAAGAGCUUGCUCUUACGGGUGGCGAGUGGCGGACGGGUGAGGAAUACAUCGGAAUCUACUUUUUCGUGGGGGAUAACGUAGGGAAACUUACGCUAAUACCGCAUACGUCCUACGGGUGAAAGCAGGGGAUCUUCGGACCUUGCGCGAUUGAAUGAGCCGAUGUCGGAUUAGCUAGUUGGCGGGGUAAAGGCCCACCAAGGCGACGAUCCGUAGCUGGUCUGAGAGGAUGAUCAGCCACACUGGAACUGAGACACGGUCCAGACUCCUACGGGAGGCAGCAGUGGGGAAUAUUGGACAAUGGGCGAAAGCCUGAUUCAGCAAUACCGCGUGGGUGAAGAAGGCCUUCGGGUUGUAAAGCCCUUUUGUUGGGAAAGAAAAGCAGCAGGUUAAUACCCCGCUGUUCUGACGGUACCCAAAGAAUAAGCACCGGCUAACUUCGUG
rnacentral:rRNA from 1 species